rnacentral:rRNA from 1 species
GAUGAACGCUGGCGGCGUGCCUAAUACAUGCCAGUCGAGCGAACAGACGAGGAGCUUGCUCCUUUGACGUUAGCGGCGGACGGGUGAGUAACACGUAGGUAACCUACCUAUAAGACUGGGAUAACUUCGGGAAACCGGAGCUAAUACCGGAUAAUAUUUCGAACCGCAUGGUUCGAUAGUGAAAGAUGGCUUUGCUAUCACUUAUAGAUGGACCUGCGCCGUAUUAGCUAGUUGGUAAGGUAACGGCUUACCAAGGCAACGAUACGUAGCCGACCUGAGAGGGUGAUCGGCCACACUGGAACUGAGACACGGUCCAGACUCCUACGGGAGGCAGCAGUAGGGAAUCUUCCGCAAUGGGCGAAAGCCUGACGGAGCAACGCCGCGUGAGUGAUGAAGGUCUUCGGAUCGUAAAACUCUGUUAUUAGGGAAGAACAAACGUGUAAGUAACUGUGCACGUCUUGACGGUACCUAAUCAGAAAGCCACGGCUAACUACGU